GGUGAUGUUGACAGACAGACAGAGAGGCGGAUGCAACCUACCUCUUGGGCAGGGAGCUGCGGUCUGAGGCCCCUGCCCAGCUGGAAACCACAGGGAGGGGAAGGGAGGGGAGGGGAGAAGAGGAGAAGAGAGGAGAGGAGCCGUCAUGGGGCCUUGGAGUCGAGUCAGGGUUGCCAAAUGCCAGAUGCUGGUCACUUGCUUCUUUAUCUUGCUGCUGGGCCUCUCUGUGGCCACCAUGGUGACUCUCACCUACUUCGGGGCCCACUUUGCUGUCAUUCGCCGAGCGUCCCUGGAGAAGAACCCGUACCAGGCUGUGCACCAAUGGGCCUUCUCUGCGGGGUUGAGCCUGGUGGGCCUCCUGACUCUGGGAGCCGUGCUGAGCGCUGCAGGCACCGUGAGGGAGGCCCAGGGCCUCAUGGCGGGGGGCUUCCUGUGCUUCUCCCUGGCGUUCUGUGCACAGGUGCAGGUGAUGUUCUGGAGACUCCACAGCCCCACCCAGCCUCCACCCCCUCCACAGGACAUCACCCAUCCUUCCAUCCUGGCUGCUGACCUGCCUGGAGGAGGAGCUGGCCUAGCUGACCCUGGGCAGGGGCCAAGGGUGUCCCCGUGGAAAGGCCAGCAGCUUGGAGAGGAAGGAGGCCUCCCUGGCCCAGCAGAGAAUGAGAGCUCGGUGGAGGAUGCCAUGCUGGACACCUACGACCUGGUAUAUGAGCAGGCGAUGAAAGGCACGUCCCACGUCCGGCGGCAGGAGCUGGCGGCCAUCCAGGACACAUUUCUGUGCUGUGGGAAGAGGUCUCCUUUCAGCCGUCUGGGGAGCACAGAGGCUGACCUGUGUCAGGGACAGGAGGCGGCAAGAGAGGACUGCCUUCAGGGCAUCCGGAGCAUCCUGAGGAUACACCAGCAGGUCACCUCCAGCCUGACCAGCAUCGGCCUGGCCCUCACGGUGUCCGCCUUGCUCCUCAGCUCCUUCCUGUGGUUUGCCGUCCGCUCUGGCUGCAGCUUGGAUCGCAAGGGCAGAUACACCCUGGCCCCACGGUAGGGCCCCCUGCUGCCCCCACCCUCUCUGGAAGGUCCUUCAGCUCCGCUCGAGACGCAUCUGCUCUGCCAGCCCCCUGCUGCCCCCACCCUCUCUGGAAGGUCCUCCAGCUCCACUCGAGACACAUCUGCUCUGCCAGCCACCGGGAGGGAGCCCCGGACCAAGCCGCAGGCUGAUGCUGUAGAGGAAACGCUUUGGGGGUGACUGAGUGCCAGGGUGGGGUGGGAGACCUGGAGAGUUUCCAGACCCGAUGCACUGCACCCCAUAGUCCACAUGGGGACCCCCCUUUGCUUGCACCAGGCCUUGCCAAGACCUGGAGAUGGAUGCUUCUGGGCCCCCAGAUUACAGCCCCAGGCCAGGAUCUCUGUGCUUGAAUACCCCAGAGCUCCUCAUGCUUAGGCGACAGGGAGGGUCCAACCCGCAGCCAGGCAGCUCUUCCUGCCCCCACGGAGCUGGCCUGUCUCUGCCUGCCAUGCCCAUUAACCCACCCACUUGCUCUUCUUGGCCAUCCAAGCCCCCAUCCCUGGGUCCUCUGCAUUCUACAACAGCCUCACAGUCCCCCUAGAACAUUCCACAGCAGCUCCAUAAUCCCUCUAGAACAUUCUGCAACCCUGUGAUCCCCUCUAGAACAUUCCACAGUAGCCUCACAGGUCCCCUGUAGAACAUUCCCCCACAGCCCCAUGAUCCCCUCUAGAACAUUCCACAAUAGCCCCACAGGUCCCCUGUAGAACAUUCCACCACAGCCCCAUGAUCCCCUCUAGAACAUUCCACAGUAGCCUCCCAGGUACCCUGUAGAACAUUCCACCACAGCCUCAUGAUCCCCUUGCUCCUCAGAGCAUGUGGCCACCAGCCCCAGGAGCCCAGCCUCUUCAGACGCUCCCAGGGUGGACCCGCACGUUGUCUCUGCUCCGAAGCAGAUGCUAUUGGUCCAAGAAGAUACUCAGGUAGUCUUCGGUGGCUGCAGGACAACGAUGCUGCACCUGGGCCCCUCUCCCGCCACCUGCCUGCCCACAGAGCUCUCCAGGGCAGAAGUCCCGGUGGGCUCAGCGGGUGCCCUGCGAGGGGUCUCUCGGGCUGACGUCAGGCCUUGGUGGGCUGCACUGUCAUCUGGAGGCUCCAGAGAAGCGUCUGCCUCCAGGACCAUUCAGGCUGUUGACAAGUCAGCUCCUCAUGGCUGUAGGACUGAGGUUCCCACGUCCUUGUCCCUGCUCCCAUGGCCCCUCCACCUUCAAACCAGCAAUGGUGCAUUCAGCAAAUUGUGGUCAAAUAUACAUCACAUAAAAUGUACCAUCGUAACCAUU